rnacentral:rRNA from 1 species
UACGGGGGGGUGCGAGCGUUGUCCGGAAUCACUGGGCGUAAAGGGUGCGUAGGCGGCGCGGUAAGUCGGGUGUGAAAUCUCGGGGGCUUAACUCCGAAACUGCAUUCGAUACUGCCGUGCUUUGAGGACUGGAGAGGAGACUGGAAUUUACGGGUGUAGCGGUGAAAUGCGUAGAUAUCGUAAGGAAGACCAGUGGCGAAGGCGGGUCUCUGGACAGUUCCUGACGCUGAGGCACGAAGGUCAGGGGGAGCAAACGGG